CCUACGGGAGACAGCAGUGGGGAAUAUUGCACAAUGGGGGAAACCCUGAUGCAGCGACGCCGCGUGCGUGAAGAAGUAAUUCGUUAUGUAAAGCUCUAUCAGCAGGGAAGAAAAUGACGGUACCUGAGUAAGAAGCCCAGGCUAACUACGUGCCAGCAGCCGCGGUAAUACGUAGGGGGCAAGCGUUAUCCGGAUUUACUGGGUGGAAAGGGAGCGUAGACGGCAGUGCAAGCCUGGAGUGAAAGGCGGGGGCUCAACCCCCGGACUGCUCUGGAAACUGUACGGCUGGAGUGCAGGAGAGGUAAGUGGAAUUCCUAGUGUAGCGGUGAAAUGCGUAGAUAUUAGGAGGAACACCAGUGGCGAAGGCGGCUUACUGGACUGUAACUGACGUUGAGGCUCGAAAGCGUGGGGAGCAAACAGGAUUAGAUACCCCAGUAGUC
rnacentral:rRNA from 1 species